rnacentral:antisense_RNA from 1 species
GCAUAUUUCUGCUUGUUCUCUUGCACCUGCUAUCAGUAUAAGAAGAAUUUCCUCUGGGUAGUGGCUGCUACUUGUUGUGAGUCCGGGGGAAAACACUAUUGGAGGUGACAAGAGUUCAAACUGCAAUGAUGUGCCACACUCACCCAGCUGCAUCUGAACUGAAGUGGGGCCCCAGCCAAGUCUUGCCUGAGAUCAGCAGACCCUCGAUGACCCACAAAAAUUAUCUGCUUAGGACACAGAAUUCAAUUACACCCAAACCCUGGAUGGAAUCAGAAUCAGAAUCAGCCAUGCAAUGAGGAAGAAGAAAUGUAAGUUGAGGCCUGUGAUUCCAACAGUUCUCUUUCUGGAAUGGCUACCAAGGAGAAAGUGUCCUGCAAAUCACAGUGUCCAACAGAAUCAACACUGCUAAACACACUCCCACUGGAGUACAGAGAAAGGGGAUCCACAGAAGAGCCUAAUCCUGAACCACUUCCAUGUAUUUGCCCAUCCAUUUCUCCUCUCUGGCCAAUACUCUUUAUAUUCAAAUUUUACCAGUCCUUCAAAGAUCAGAUUAAGUUCCAAAAUCUCAAAAGCCUUCUCAGCCUACUCUUACAGCUUAAUAGUGCAUACCAACUUCAAUUAAUGAUAAACUCAUUUGUUUCAUUUUGUAUUAUUUAAUAGAAACACUGGAAUUUAAUCUUUGUGUUUUUUACAUUUUGUUUUCUCCACUAGAUUACCAACUUGAUGUCAUGAACCACUUACUACAAUUCUUUUGUAGCUUGUAACUGUAUUAGGCACAGUUUCUUGAAGAAAUUAAGCACAUAUUUACAUGUUUUAAAUAACUUUGUAUUGAUUUGCAUAUGUAUGAAGGAGGUAUGUCAUACUUGGCUUUAGAAAAAAGUCUCGUCUAAUAUUCAAGGAACCAGUCUGUGACCUUUGUUUAUUAUCUAAUUUUUUGAAACACAAUCUAUAUUUACAAUCCUAUUAGCUGUUACUGGAUAUAUAUGGAAGAAUAUAACACUACUUCUUUAUUACAUAUAAUUUGGAUACUCUUCUGCCUUCGCCAUUAAGUUAACUAUACAUUAAGACAGUUCACAUAACUUUUUUAUUUUCUGUUUUUUUAGAGAUGGAGGUCUAACUAUGUUGCCCAGGCUGGCCUCGAACUUCUGGGCUCAAGUAAUCCUUCACCUCAGCCUCCCAAGUUGCUGGAAUUACUGGCUUCAGCCACUGCGCCUGGCAGUUUACACAACUUUAAUUGCUUGUUUAUGUAUAAAUUUCCUUCUAUAAUCUAGUCAUAAUCUAGUCAACCUACUACUGCAUAAAAAUUUGCUGAAUAUCUCCCAAGAGCUAGCUCUCAUAACGGGUUUUAAGGCUCUCAAGAAGCUUAAUAUACAGAAAUAAACUGCACUGGCUGUAUAUUUGCACAAAAGUUGUAAACUUGGCUGCUGCUGAGCAAUUUAUGUAUAUACGGUACCUGUUUUUCUGGCUGUCCUUUUUUUGUGUAACAAUUACUAAUAUACAUUCCCCUUUAUCUAAAAAAAUCCCUAUGCACAAAUGAAACCUCUGCCAGAGGAUAUAAGGAACACGAAAGUAGUAUAAGACACAUUUCUUGUGCCUGAUGAAUUUACACCCUUGUCAGGAAGAUAAACAUAUGUAUAAAUUGUAUCUACAGAAAAUACAUAAUAUAGUGUGAUCAGACUGAAUGACUUGGUAACUGAGAAAAAUCAAAAUAAACUGAAUAGGAAAAAAUGUCCUAAGCAUUGUAUUUAAAUACCAUACCUGGAUUAGGACUCAUUUUAUGGGCAUAUAUCAGUGCAAGUAGAGAACAAAGUGAUACAUCUUGUUUAUUUUUAAUAGCCUCAAAUUCUCGAAGAGCUUCUUGAGUUCUACCUGAAAAUCAAGAUUAUGAUAUGAAAAACUGUUCUUAGUGCAAAGCAAGAAUUUAAAACGGAUGGAACAUGUUUAAUGAUUAACACGUACCUUCCAUUAAUGUGCCAUAGGCAUGGUAAAACCUGAAGACUGGAUCACUUCCAUACCUCUUCAUUCCUUCACUGGCAACCAGUAACACAUGAUGGAAAUAUCUCUCUUGACAAUAGUAAUUAAUCAAAGUCUAAAUGGAAAUAAUGAAAAAAUGUUAUAAAGGAAUUCUGGUGCUCUGAAAUACUCUAAGAAGCAGAUAAUAAUCUAACAUCUAGAAUAACGUAAAAUUUAGGCAAUGUGACUUUUUUCUUCCAAGUUUCUUAAAAUACUGUUAAUGGCUAGAACUCAAUGCUAAGG